GUGCUCACUUUGUCAGCACAUAUACUAAAGUUGGGACAAUGCAGAGAAGCUUAGCAUGGCCCCUGCACAAGGAUGACAUGCAAUUUUGUGAAAAAGAAAAGAAAUAA